GAACUAUUUUUGCGAUGUGUUCCUAAUAUGUAUUAUGAGUAUAUUGGGGAUGCUUUGCAUUCAUGGUUC
rnacentral:pre_miRNA from 1 species